UACGUAGGGGGCAAGCGUUGUCCGGAUUUAUUGGGCGUAAAGCGCUCGCAGGUGGUUCGUUGCGUCGUGCGUGAAAGCCCCCGGCUCAACUGGGGAGGGUCGUGCGAUACGGGCGAACUGGAGGCCAGUAGGGGGAUGCGGAAUUCCGGGUGUAGUGGUGGAAUGCGUAGAGAUCCGGAGGAACACCAGCGGCGAAGGCGGCAUCCUGGACUGGUCCUGACACUCAGGAGCGAAAGCGUGGGGAGCGAGCCGG
rnacentral:rRNA from 1 species